rnacentral:rRNA from 1 species
ACUGACAGCCAUGGUUACCGCGGCUGCUGGCACGGAGUUAGCCGGUGCUUCUUCUGCGAGUAACGUCACAGAUGUAAGGUAUUAACUUACACCCUUUCCUCCUCGCUGAAAGUGCUUUACAACCCGAAGGCCUUCUUCACACACGCGGCAUGGCUGCAUCAGGGUUUCCCCCAUUGUGCAAUAUUCCCCACUGCUGCCUCCCGUAGGAGUCUGGGCCGUGUCUCAGUCCCAGUGUGGCUGAUCAUCCUCUCAGACCAGCUAGGGAUCGUCGACUAGGUGAGCCUUUACCUCACCUACUAGCUAAUCCCACCUGGGCUUAUCCAUCAGCGCAAGGCCCGAAGGUCCCCUGCUUUCCCCCGUAGGGCGUAUGCGGUAUUAGCAGUCGUUUCCAACUGUUAUCCCCCACAAAUGGGCAAAUUCCCAGGCAUUACUCACCCGUCCGCCGCUCGUCAUCUUCAAAAGCAAGCUUUUGAAAUGUUACCGCUCGACUUGCAUGUGUUAGGCCUGCCGCCAGCGUUCAAU